rnacentral:rRNA from 1 species
UACGAAGGGGGCUAGCGUUGCUCGGAAUCACUGGGCGUAAAGCGCACGUAGGCGGAUUGUUAAGUCCGGGGUGAAAUCCUGGAGCUCAACUCCAGAACUGCCUUUGAUACUGGCGAUCUCGAGUCCGGGAGAGGUGAGUGGAACUGCGAGUGUAGAGGUGAAAUUCGUAGAUAUUCGCAAGAACACCAGUGGCGAAGGCGGCUCACUGGCCCGGUACUGACGCUGAGGUGCGAAAGCGUGGGGAGCAAACAGG